UGCACCAACAACAUCCCUCACGGAGCAACAGUGACACCAGGUGGCCCCUCAGGGUAAUGCACCAACAAUUUCCGUCACGGACCAACCGUGACACCAAGUGGCCAGUCCCGGUAAUACACAAAUCAUUUCCCUCAUGGACCAACAGUGACACUGGGUAGCCGCUCAGGGUAAUGCACAAAGCAUUUCCCUCAUGGAGCAACAAUGACAAUGGGUGGCCACUCAGGGUAAUGCACCAACAAUUUCCCUCACG